AAGUGUCCCAGGCAGCAGUCCCCUGAAGUGUGUGAGUAAGUCUGUAAAUGCCAAAACGUCCUGGUAAAGCAAAUAGCUUCAUGCUCCCCAGUUGAUUAUGCUUCACAAUGUCCAAUUCCCCUUGCCUGCUUCCUUCCUUAUUAAUAAUUAGCUAACUACCUACGCUAACAAAAAUAUAUGAAGCAACAACUCCUCCUGUGAAAAGAAAUCAGUGAGUCAACAGUGGUGGGUGGCGAUUUAGCACGAUUUUCUCAAAUAGUCACAGCUCAGGCAGACCAGAGGCAUGAG